UUUUUUGUUUUGGUUUGUUUGUUUUUUAUCACUGUCAACUAUGGGUUAUGGGGAAUUCAUAGUCAACAACAAAAGCCCUGACUGAAGAGUUGCCUCAGCCAAGUCACCACUUGGGUCACUACCCUUGUACAUAGUAUCAGAAAGAUGAGAGCUUUCCAGAAGCAUGGGCUUUGUCAACCUCCACUCUCUCAUUUGUCAAAAAUGGAAUGAGAUGGAGGAGAGACUCAGAGACAGCGAGACAGGUGAGAGGACUGACUGAAGAUAGGAGGCAAGAAGAGAGGAAUUUAAUAUAAUGAGGCCUUUUCUGAUAACCUAUGUAAAAUGGUAUAUCUUAUAACUCAUGUCUACUUUACUCUGCUUUCCCCCCUCCAUAGAACUUGCCACUAACACACACCCACACAUCCCCACACACAAAAGUAUUAGCUAUUGUUCAUUUCGCUAGUACAAUAUAAGAUUCACAAGGAAAGGAAAAUCACUAUAUUAACUGUUGUAUUCCUAGUGCCUACCCUGAAAGAUGUGACAUGGGAUGAAUGAAGUGGCUAACUUAAUAAGUGGACUUCAAUAUUGACUAAGAUAGGAAAUAUAGAAACAAAGGUAAGUUUGCAAUAGAUUCAGUUUAAAACAUGAAGAUUUUGAGUUGUCACAGUGAAUAUAUAUGGUCUAGAGCUUAGUAGAGAAGAUGGGGCUGGAGAUUGACAUUUGGAAGUCAUGGGUGCUUAGGUAUCAGUAAAAUAACAAAUUUCUAAUUAAGGAGAUAUGAUAUAUUUGGUGUGGAUCUCAGAGUUUUGUGUGACUUCUGGCCACCAGAACAUCUACCUCACUACACAGGAUUUGAAGAUAAUGCUUGACAGCUGUUAAGGCCAUUGGGAAUGCUGUUCCUGUGGCCAUGCCUAAUACACAGCUGCCCAGCUAUCCCUGUCUAUUCUGGGAUUAACUCUAGUUUAUUUCAGAGGUGACAAUAUAUGUAUGUUUUCAGUCCUUUGGAGAGUUUUAAUAUUGUUUGCUGACUGUGUCUGUUUUUCCAUAAAUCACGUGAAAUAACUAAUCCCUAAACGUAAAACACAUACACACACAUGUCCAUGGCGAAUCAUGUGAUAAACCUUGAAACUAACAAUGAAUACCAAUAGGAAUAAGUAAUUUGAAAACUCAAAGAUUUCAUGGAAAUAAAGAUGUUCCACAGUUCAAUAUUUAAGACACUUUAGCAGGCAGCCAUGACAUUCCUUGUUAUCCAGUGUCAACUAGACCUCACAUGGUUUUGUUCUUUAAAAUAACAAGGGCAUAAUGGUUUGGUAGUAAGCAUAACCCAUGCCUACUCUCUUCUCAAGGUAUUUCCCAAUGUCACUUUCAGUUAACAAUUACCUGGAUGUGAUAAGAUAACUCUCAAUUUGACUGCCGUUAUGUAUGCAUCUUGAGCUCUCAUGCUUCUCACAGUGAUUUGAUAGGCUUCACAUGUUUCAUUAGAAAAAUACAGUAUAAUUCACUCCACUGGCUUUUAAGCAAAUCACAAUCAUACAGUGUAUUAAAUCUCACUGGGAGUUGGAUACAGUGAAUAUCAAACAUUUAUUAUAGGCUAAGGCUGUUUAAAGUUAAGACUCAUCUGCUGAGGUACAAAUUAGAUGGGUUAUAGUGUUCAGUUAUUAAAUAUUUUCAUUAAAUUUCAAAUACCAUGGGAUUAUUGUUUAUAUGACUAUCAAAAUAUACUUUCCCAGUGACCUCUGUGUGUUAUGCUCCUUUCAGGAAAUGUCACUUUAGGAUAGUCAUGUCUAUACUUAGAGCAAAAGUAGUUCUGAACCCUUUACAAAUGUCAAAUGAUUACUCUAUCAGAUAUCCUCUGAUUGCCUCAACUGCCUCCUUCCCUCGGAAGGCACUGCUCACCUCCUAGACUGUGCUCCAUCCAGCACUUUUGUUGCAUGGGUAAGGAUGGCUGAAGUCUGACUUGAAGGCCUAGGCUUGAUGUCUAACAUGCUAUAUCACCAGAAAUCAACCCUGACAGUGCCUUGAUAUUGGAUUUUAGUCUCAUUGUGAGAAAAUAAAUUUCUAUUGCUCGAGCUACCCAGCCUGUGGUAUUUUGCUAUGGCAGCCUAGCAGACUAAUACAACUCCUAACACAACUCCUAAACCAAGUAUAAGGU
rnacentral:lncRNA from 1 species